ACUCCUACGGGAGGCAGCAGUGGGGAAUAUUGCACAAUGGAGGAAACUCUGAUGCAGCGACGCCGCGUGAACGAUGAAGGAAUUCGUUUCGUAAAGUUCUGUCCUUGGGGACUAUAAUGACGGUACCCAAGGAGGAAGCCCCGGCUAACUACGUGCCAGCAGCCGCGGUAAU
rnacentral:rRNA from 1 species